rnacentral:tRNA from 1 species
GGCCAAGUGGCGGAAUGGCAGACGCACUCGACUCAAAAUCGAGCGUAGCAAUACGUGUGGGUUCGAGUCCCACCUUGGCCACCU